UACUUAAAUUUAGAGGAUACUACCCAAAUGACAACAAUACAGAGAUUAACAUGGCACUUGCAGAAGGAUGAUACAAAAAUUCGUGAAAUAUUUUUCAUUCUU